GAAGGGGUGUAUUUAUUAGAUAAAAAACCAAUGCCCUUCGGGGCUCUUUGGUGAUUCAUGAUAACUUUACGGAUCGCAUAGCCUUGCGCUGGCGACGGUUCAUUCAAAUUUCUGCCCUAUCAACUUUCAAUGGUAAGGUAUUGGCUUACCAUGGUUUCAACGGGUAACGGGGAAUUAGGGUUCGAUUCCGGAGAGGGAGCCUGAGAAACGGCUACCACAUCCAAGGAAGGCAGCAGGCGCGCAAAUUACCCAAUCCCGACACGGGGAGGUAGUGACAAUAAAUACUGAUACAGGGCUCUUUUGGGUCUUGUAAUUGGAAUGAGUACAAUUUAAACCUCUUAACGAGGAACAAUUGGAGGGCAAGUCUGGUGCCAGCAGCCGCGGUAAUUCCAGCUCCAAUAGCGUAUAUUAAAGUUGUUGCAGUUAAAAAGCUCGUAGUUGAAACUUGGGCCUGGCUGGCGGGUCCGCCUCACCGCGUGCACUCGUCCGGCCGGGCCUUCCUUCUGAAGAACCUCAUGCCCUUCACUGGGCGUGUUGGGGAAUCAGGACUUUUACUUUGAAAAAAUUAGAGUGUUCAAAGCAGGCCUUUGCUCGAAUACGUUAGCAUGGAAUAAUAAAAUA
rnacentral:rRNA from 1 species